GUGCUUGCAUUAGCAGCAUAUACACUAAAAUUGGAAUGAUACAAUUAGAAGAUUAGCAUGGCCCCUGCGCAAGGAUGACACGCAAAUUUGUGAAGCGUUCCUAUAUAUA